CGUUCUCAGGGCGGGGUGGAAUUCCCCACCGGCGGUAUUCAUGCUUCGUCAUGAGAGCCCGCGAGCGCCUUGGCGGGGUUGCGACCCGGCCAAGGGUCAGCAGAUCUGGUGCGAUGCCAGAGCCGACGGUCACAGUCCGGAUGAAAGAGAA
rnacentral:ncRNA from 1 species